rnacentral:rRNA from 1 species
AGGACGAACGCUGGCGGCGUGCUUAACACAUGCAAGUCGAACGGUGAAGCCUUUCGGGGUGGAUCAGUGGCGAACGGGUGAGUAACACGUGGGCAAUCUGCCCUGCAUUCUGGGACAAGCCUUGGAAACGAGGUCUAAUACCGAAUAUGACUGCGGCUGACAUCAGCCACGGUGGAAAGUUUUUCGGCUAGGGAUGGACUCGCGGCCUAUCAGCUAGUUGGUGAGGUAACGGCCCACCAAGGCGACGACGGGUA